UCGUGCCUACGGGAGGCAGCAGUGGGGGAUAUUGCACAAUGGGGGGAACCCUGAUGCAGCGACGCCGCGUGGGUGAAGAAGCGCCUCGGCGCGUAAAGCCCUGUCAGCAGGGAAGAAAAUGACGGUACCUGAAGAAGAAGCCCCGGCUAACUACGUGCCAGCAGCCGCGGCAAUACGUAGGGGGCAAGCGUUAUCCGGAUUUACUGGGUGUAAAGGGGGCUCAGACGGCGAUGCAAGCCAGGAGU
rnacentral:rRNA from 1 species